rnacentral:rRNA from 1 species
UACGGAGGGGGCUAGCGUUGUUCGGAAUUACUGGGCGUAAAGGGCGCGUAGGCGGCCUGCUAAGUCAAAGGUGAAAUCCCUCGGCUCAACUGAGGAACUGCCUUUGAAACUGUCGGGCUUGAGGCCGGGAGGGGGUAGCGGAAUUCCCAGUGUAGCGGUGAAAUGCGUAGAUAUUGGGAGGAACACCGGUGGCGAAGGCGGCUACCUGGACCGGUUCUGACGCUGAUGCGCGAAAGCGUGGGUAGCAAACAGG